AUCCACUUUCACAUGUUUAUUACAGGUUGGCCUCCUUGAAUUCAAAACCUCCAAUAACAAGAAUACCAAAAAUGAUUGAAGCAUGAAUGAACAAACUCAUUCAGCACCUCCCCCAUGCAAUUAGUGCCUGGUUGGAUUGGAGAUAUUUAAGAUAAUCCUCAAUUAAGUUCACAAA